rnacentral:tRNA from 1 species
GCGCCCGUAGCUCAGCUGGAUAGAGCAACGCCCUUCUAAGGCGUGGGUCAUAGGUUCGAAUCCUAUCGGGCGCACCA